GGGUCACGAGCGUUCGCUCGCUCGGGGCUCGCGUCCUUUUAACACAACACACCCCUUUGCAUGUAUCGGAACGCGUCGUUCGCCGUAGUAGCGAAAUAAAAACUUGUACAACUUUCAACAACGGAUCUCUUGGCUCUCGCAUCGAUGAAGAACGCAGCGAAAUGCGAUAAGUAAUGUGAAUUGCAGAAUUCAGUGAAUCAUCGAAUCUUUGAACGCACCUUGCGCCUCUUGGUAUUCCGAGGGGCACGCCUGUUUGAGUAUCGUGAGAUCCUCAACCCGACUUUCCUUUCUUUUGGGAAGAAGGGCUUGGACUUUGGAGGUCUUGCCGGUCCCUUUGUCUGGACCCGGCUCCUCUUGAAUGCAUUAGCGGGAGCUCAUCCGCUCUCUCUCUGCCGGUCGGUGUGAUAACGCUUGAUCUGCGCCGACGGUGUGAGGGGGAGGAAGAAGU
rnacentral:rRNA from 1 species